ACACACAAAAGAUGUGUGUAAUUCAGACACAAAAAUGACAAAUAAAAUGGAGACACGUAGAUUUUAGCUUAAACAAAUAAAAUAAAAAAUAAUUUUAUAAUGAAAAAAAAAAAACAUUCUUCUCUCUCUUCCAUCUUCCUUACGCCACCACCUCUCUCCUCUCCUAUUCCACCUCCUCCAUGGACGCCAACCAUUUUCUUCAGGAAAAAGGUCCAUUAGUUUCCACCGGCGACCACAACCCAUGUCACCGUUGAACCUCCAAUCCAUAAAAACCAACACCAUCAGUUCUUGAUCCAAAAACAAUUCACAAGAAACCAUCAAUUAACAAGGAUUUUCAUCACCAAUCCAUUACCUAUAAUCACCGGAAAACCCAUCAAUUAGCAAGGAUUUUCGUCGGAAAAUAUGAAGUUUCGCUGUAAAAAUGAUUUGCUGUCACCUUCCUCUUUUCUUGUUUUCUUCUUCAUUCAAACUCAUUGUUCAGCCAAUCAAGAUUCAACCACCAUCUCGCAGCUGGCACGCUCAUCUCAUGGUUCUAAGUCACCGGUGGCAGAGGCACAAACCCUUCAUCGCCGUCGUCAGCACGUUCUCUUCCUGUUUUAUUCAUCUAGGGUUUGUGCUUGAGGAAGAUAGAGGAGAUAAUGAGUUUUACAAAAAUGAAAAAGAAAAGGAAAAUAUGAUAUUAGAUGCUUUCACGCGCUUAAGAGUCGUGAAACACAAUUUUUUUUUUAUUUUGUGUUUAAAUGACACAGUAAAAGUAAUUUUAGAGGUUCAGAUGGUACGAAUCUCAAUUGGAGGGUCUGAAUGAAUUUUACCGACAAAUUUGAAGAUUUAUCUAUUGACUUUAGCCAUAAAAGAAAAAGGGCGGGCCCUUAGCAUGUGAAAAAGAGAGAGGCAAAAUUGAGUCUGUUACGUUUUGAUGAUUAUACCGUUUCUAGUGGAUGCUAAGUUGGUUAAGUAAUUGUUGUAGUCUAUGAAGUUGUUGAUCUAUAGAUACUCAUCUAGCUCUUCAAUGCUCCAGCCUUUCCUAUACGAGCUCUUCAUGUCCAACUUUACUAUGAACCUUUGA